rnacentral:lncRNA from 1 species
CCUCCGCGGCUGGGCGGCCGCUCCUCUGCGCCCCGCCGACCCCCCCGAGGUCCCCGCGCGGGGCCUGGAGCGGGGAGCGCGGGGAGCAGCCCGGGCGCCCCAGCUCGGCCGCGCGGGGUCGUCCGCUGCGCCCGGGAACCGGAGGCCCACAAGUUCCUUCCGUCGUUGGCUCCUUCGUUCCCGGUUAUGGACCAGAAGCCUGCAAGGGACAUGGCCGGGGACAGAGAGGACGAGCAAGGGUGCGGGAGUCGCAGCCCCCCAGGAGGGGAGCCAGCGGCCUGUGCUCUUGCAUCUCCCCCACCGCUAAGUGGACCUGGUGCAGGUGCCCGCGACUCCCCCACACCCACAAAGAAGGCGGCAGCAAAACCAAAUGCACAUCCAGGCGCUUGUCUGAAGCUAAGCUCUGGUAUAUGGAUCAGCCAAACUUGAGAUUUCAGGUACCCAGUCCUUACUCAGUUUUUGUCGAUGGGCAAGAAAGCCUCAUCAGACAGCAAAG